GCGGCAUCUCUGGAGCCCUUCCUUCUAGAAGGGUCUCCUUUUCCCUCGGCAGCCCCUCGCUGGACUCGGAAGGACCAGAAGAAAUGUACUGUUGCUACAGUGGUAGUUGUGAGGUGACGGAGGCACCUGUGGGGUCUGCAGCUAGUGGGGUCUGCUGUGCUAGUAGCAGAGAAUGAGAGCAAGGAGGACUCUCCCCUCAGCUGCUGUCCUCCUCGCAUUGGUGGCCAGAUGAUGCCUGCCCCUUGCUAACAAUCCUGGAAACUGGUGGGGAGCCCUGAUACCCCAAACUCUGUCUCCGGAUCUGCUUCUGGAGAGCCCGUCUGUAACAUGCAGUGUCUGGCAGACAGUACCUCCAAAACCCUGCACCGGUCGCACAGGGGACACCUACAGACCCUUCUCAGAGCACCGAGGUACCCAGUAAAGC